rnacentral:lncRNA from 1 species
CCAAGUUUAAGGUUCUUGGAGAAGGACUCAUAGAACUUGUUGUAGUCCUCCUUGUUCUCAGCAAUCUCAAAGAAGAGCUCGAUGGACUUCUUGACAAGGUUCUUGCGGAUGACCUUGAGGAUCUUGUUCUGCUGAAGGGUCUCACGUGAGAUGUUGAGGGGAAGGUCCUCAGAGUCAACAAUACCCUUGACAAAGGCCAGCCACUCUGGGAUCAGCUCCUCACAGUUGUCCAUGAUGAAGACACGGCGCACAUAGAGCUUGAUGUUGUUGGCCUUCUUCUUGGUGUCAAAGAGGUCAAAGGGGGCCCUCUUGGGGACAAAGAGGACCGCCUUGAACUCAAGCUGCCCCUCCACAGAGAAGUGCUUGACAGCAAGAUGCUCCUCCCAGUCGUUGGUCAGGCUCUUGUAAAAAGCAGCAUAUUCCUCCUUGGUAAUUUCCUCAGGCUUCCUCAUCCAGAUAGGCUUCUGCUUGUUAAUCAAGGACCACUCGUGUGAAACCUCCUUGAUCUUCUUUUUCUUCUUUUCCUUUUCUUCUUCCUUCUCUUCAUCAAUUUCCUCAACCUUGCCCUCCUCAGUGUCCUUUUUCUCUUCCUCAUCUUCAUCAUCAGAAAUUUCCUUCUCUGUUGUCUUCUCAGUCCAGAGAGAGAUCGGGUAGCUGAUGAACUCAGAGUGUUUCUUCACCAGAUCCUUAAGGCGACGCUCCUCAAGGUAUUCCAACUGCAGAGUAGAACCGCAAAUUGUUAGGGAGAAGUAAUCCACAAUAAGUUAUCAGUAACAACUUGAGUAUAAAAGACAGAUUUGCUGCAGUCUGAACAUGAAUACUGACAGUAACAGCACAGUACUAACAGAUUAUUAUAACGGCAAUGUAAAAUCUUUGAUAAUACAAUUCCACAUCAAUAGUUGUUACACACAAUUCCAUAGCAACAACAACAUUGAUAACAUUGCUCAGAUAAUAUUGGCUCAGUUUCAUAGCAACAGCAAACAAUAAAUUAAAUGCUGACACCAAAAUUCUGAUUCAGUUUCAAAGUAACAAGAAAUGAUAAGAACUGACUAAAUUUCAUAGUAAUGCCAAACAAAAAAUUCAAAGCUGGACACUAGCAAGAGUGCUCAAUUUAGUUGCAACAACCAAUCCUAAAUUCUAAAUUAGACUAUAGCAAGUAUCAACAGGGAACUCUUCCUGGCUCUUCAGUUUCUACUGACAGGGAUUUCUUAUACCCAGAUUUCAAUAUCAUCAACAAUAAAUUAACCCUCCAAGUACAACAACGAACGGGGGCCAUGAUCAGCACAGGACAUGAAUAUCACAUUAAAAUCUAGAACCAGCCACAUGAAUUAUGAAGACAACAUGGCCCAGGUAACUAGUGCAACUAAAAAAUGCUUUUGUUACAUGGCACAGGUAGCUAGCGCAUGUAGAUACUAACUUUCUUCUAUAGCACAUGAGGCGAGUAAAAAGUAAAUUAUUAUUUUGUGAGCUAUGUUUUGGUGUACCUGAUCUUCCUUGAGGUAGAGAGUCAUCUUAGUACCCCUUCCGAGGGACUCUCCAGUAUCACGGGUGACAGUGAAGGACCCGCCAGCCUGAGACUCCCACACAUACUGCUCGUCAUCGUUGUGCUUGGUGGUCACGACGACCCUAUCAGCAACAAGGUAAGCAGAGUAGAAGCCAACACCAAACUGGCCAAUCAUGGACACAUCAGCACCAGCAGCCAAUGCCUCCAUGAACUCCUUUGUACCGGACCUUGCAAUUGUACCAAGGUUGUUCACCAGAUCUGACUUGGUCAUGCCAAUACCAGUAUCAAUAAGCGUGAGUGUGUUUGUGGCCUUGUCAGGGAUAAUGUGGAUGAACAGCUCUGGCUGAGCAUCGAGCUUGCUCUUGUCAGUGAGGCUCUCAAAUCUGAUCUUAUCCAAAGCCUGCAGAUCAGAGCAUCCAAUUUAGUGAAAAGUACAUAAACAACAGUAAUCAACAAUGUAAAGCACUAGGACAUUAGCGGAGACUGAUUCUUUUAAGAAAAAAUCCCAUAAACAAUGGUUCUGCAGAAUGUGCACACAUCCUGUUUUCCCAAUUUGUUUAAAUAAAGCUACUUGGAAUUUUGAUGCUGUGGGAGUGCUUAACCUGAUUUUAUGUUCCAAGUAAUUCUAGCAAAAUUCAUAGGUGAGACACAACGACUUCUCAGAAAUUACUAAAAUCUUACAUCAAACACAGAUUCACCAUAAUAAUCAAAGUGAAUUCUUGUAGUCUGAAUAUUUCAGGUUCCAAUGAUCAAAGCAUACUCCCUCCAUUAAAAAACACAAGGCCAUCUUGGAUUGUCACAGGAACCAAUGGUUGCUAGGAUGUUUUUUUCGGUUUAGCCAACAAAUCCUCAGGAAUUUCUCUUGUGACGAGUAAUUAAGUUUCGCAUGCAUACACACCAAUCAGCAAUCAAGAUACUUGUUACAAGGAGUUAUGUACCAGGAAUACAGGAUGACGGGCAACUAAUUUAACUAAAAAAACAAAACGGCUUUGCAUAUUUGACGAAUGAUCUUGCAACAUAAUCCCAGAUUAGCCCUCUAAAUACAGCUAGUUUCACAUCUGACCGACCGCGGAGCUAAAAAAAUUAUUGCUACGUUCACGCACAGAACAGUAUGCAUAUCUCAGAUUCAUCUAUACGGAUCGAAACGUGCUUUCGCAAAACAGCGCCAAAACCGUGUGAGGACCACAUGAAAACACCGAUCUAUUUUUGACGGGACAAGGGGUAGCAGCGGGCAUGGAUCUAUGGCGGGAGAGGAAAAACAAUAAAAGUAAAGGGGCGCAGGGGAGGGAGCUUACAUCGGAGGAGUUGGAGAUGAGCUCGCGGAGGAAGAUCUCCUUGUUGGAGUAGAAGGUGUUGAUGAUGAGCGAGAGCAGCUGGUUGAUCUCGGCCUGGAAGGCGAAAGUCUCGGUCUCCGAAGCCAUGGCGCCGGAACCAGUAGAGUGGGGGCGCACGCGCGAGGGGAGAUGCCGAGAUGAAGACGGCUAGGGUUAGGGUUUUUGAGCUGGGUCAGAGAGGGGAGGGCCGGAGGGCGUGGGGGCGCGCAUUUAUAGUGCGGAGAGGGGGUUCUCGAACGUUCUACCGGGCGGAACGGGGUGGAUCUGGCCCGACGGUCCAGUUGCCCGCCCGUUAAGGUAUGCACGGGACUUCAUCUAUGAACGCUCAUUGGUAGCCGCCGGAUAUCCAGGAAUUCGUGGCGCAAACAAGCAUCAGUAGCCCAAUAAACUGCGUCAACGUCCCAUCAAUUGUACUCUCUCUAUUCCUAAAUACUUGUCGUGGAAGUACCUUGUAACGCAAAUACUCGGAACAAGAAAAGGUAUUCUAACAGACAACACAAUAGAAGCAUUGGUAAAAAAAAACAUAAUAGAAGAAAAUAAAAUGUAGCAGCAGAAUAAUAUCGGCAACAAUAUAAAAUGUCUAGUAUUAUGCCCCGUAUAAGUAUGUCAUUGAUUUAUACUUCUACAAUAUUCAUGGAGCAACAUUGUUGUCCAUGUCCACCAUUCUUGUAUCCAGACUCCAACAUAAUCCAUUGCUAUUUUGAAUCAUGUGAUGGAAUAGGUUGAGUCAAGUUGACUAAUCGUUGGGUCCGAGUCUCUAUGCCUUGUUACGGCCCAUAUGAUAAUGAUGAGUUAGGCUAGCUAGUUUAGAGCAUGUCCAAGGGUCUAAGCAGAUAGACCCAUGUUAAUGCUUCCAUCUUGCACGCUACGGAGUACAUUACAAAAACAAUCAAAUUCUUCUUCUUGCAAGCUAAAUUGGACGUGUCCUCGAUGAUGGCGGCAUGAACAUGCACAAUCCAAAUAAAACAACCAAGUAGAAUGUGGUUCGGGUGACACAUGGUGUACCGACAAGGAAUGCUAGCCCUCAUGCAGUGGUUUGACAAGCUUGCAAGUACAAAUGACAAUUUGAGUGAAUUGAUUAGGCCGAGCAGCCCACAUCACCAUUCCUCGUAAAGACAUGACCGACAUUGAAGCAUCCUUGAGCAACAAUAUCAACGUCGUCACGAAUUGGUCAUCCUGAUCACAAAGGAACGAUGAGGUCGGAGCUCCGAAUAUUGCCGAGAAUUGCGAGCCACCGUCGGAAGACACAAGCCAAUUUCCGUGCACAUUCAUCCAACCAAACACCUAUCCUAACGAACUCCUAACCGUCAAACCAAACAAAAAGCUUUCAAAUCCCGUUCACAUAACCAAACGCUCAAAAGUUUUUUUUUUGACAGCCCAAACGCUCAAAAGAUCAUCACACUUCCGACCCGUAAAAUUAUGGACGACCUAACCGAUCCCUCUCUGCUCUUCAACUAAACGCACCAGUUACACAACCUGAAGGAGAAGGCGCCUUUUCGUGGGGACGGUGGCGUAAGCCAGGUCUUCUUCUUCUCAGCCCGUCAGCAGUGACGCGAGCGACCGGAUUUAACCGCCGACAGCAUCCUCGUCGUCGUCGUGUUCCCGAACGUUCCACUCGCCUCCAUAUAACCCACCCACGAGAGCGGCGAGGCGGCCCGUAAAUUUCCCCACUUCCAUAAGCAACCUCCCUCCCUCCGCCGGCCGAUCAAUCUGCGGUGCCCUCCUUGGCUCGGCGACAGGCGUCUAUCUAGGUACGUGCGGUCGCUCAGUCGCCUCUACCCGCAAGCUUGAUCUGUUCAAUUGUUAUUUCAUUUGGUUAGAUCGUUGUCUGUUUGCGGCGAUUUUAGCCCGGAUGCUCGCGGUUCGGCGGGGAAUUAAUUUGGGGGGCGAAUUGGGGCAGUGUCUUAGGCGAUAAGUAUCUCAGGUUCUCAACUAGGAACGCAUCCUGAUUGAUGAGUGCAUGCGUUUCAAUGGUGUUACAGCCAUACCCAUAAGUAUUCAGCUGUAACCUGUGAGUCCAGUUGCUGUAGAAUAUAUAUUGGAUUAAAACAAACACAUGGAGGUAUUGAGGAAGCAAUACUUUUUUUUUUGCGCUGAUUGAGGAAGCAAUACUAAAAUACUAAUGAUGAAACUGUGAAAGUUCCGCCCCCUUUUGAUUAGGUUGUAUGAUUGAUGAAGCCUCCACUGGUUUGCUUCUGAUUCAAUCCCAGAAAUUGGAAGUUGUAUUACUUUGAUACUCUGGUAGCACCGUUGAUUAAGAGUUGAACUUUUCAGUUUGAGUUCAGGGUUGACCUGCUGGUAUUUAUUAUAUGUAUUAAGCUUACUCCCAUUGCUAGUUUUGUAGCUUUCCUUCUAGUUCUCACUGGUAAUUUGGUUGAUGACACUAUGAUAUUCUGGUAGGACAUAAUAGUAGAAAUGCAGGAUCACCAUAUUCUGUAGACAAAUACGUAAACCUGACAGCGUAAGGUUGUUUGAUGUCAGGAACAAAAUGGAUGGGAACAGAGUAGCUCGAAUGUCAGUCACUUGGAGAAGCAGGCAACUUGAUGUUGACGCGGAUCCAAACUGUACCGUGAAAGAAUUCGGCCAGCUGCUCCAAGAUUUGACUAACGUAAAACCAGAGACGUUGAAGCUCAUAGUUCCACAAUCUACAACUAAAGGCUCCAAGCUGAUCAUGCCAUUUUCGGAUUCCCAUUCAGGCUUAACGCUGAAAGAAGCUGCUGUUAGUGAGGUAAGAUGCACAAGCAUUGCACAUACUAAUCAAGAAUUCAAAAUGUUGUUAGGUUAGUUCAUAAUGCAAUGGUGAAUAACAUCAUUGGCAUGCACCUCUUCCGUUUUCUUGCAACAGGGUAAGCCUAUUAGAAUGAUGGGUGUCUUUGACGAUGAAAUUGAGGAAGUUUCAGACAAUGGCAAAAGACCUGAUAUGCGGAUAAUUGGUUUUGAUGAGGAAGAACAACGGCUGAGGCAACGAUCAUCAGGCAGGCCCAAGUUUUCACUCAAACUUCCACAGGGGCAAUACAUCUUCUGUGAUUUUCGGACACUUCACUUACCUGGGAUCGAGGUCAGUCAAACCCUGCUCUCAUAAGUUUUUUUUAGUUUAUAAGAAACAGACCCUUUGAUAUCAGUCAUUUCUUUCUGACCUUGUAUAUGUCAAGGCAUCAUAAAUCUUGCGUCUGCACAUGUUCCGUUGUACCUUUAUGCUACUGGUUUUCCUGCUUGAAUCAAGUGUACACACUUUCCAUUGGGGCAUUUGGGCAGUGUGUGUCAUAGAUACCAGAUGAUACCCCACGUGUUUCUGCUGGAGUUUGCUUAGACUAGAGUGUGCUUUGUAGCAUGGGUGGAUGCAAUGUAGCAUCAGGGAUAACUACGUCCAAGCAAGCUAAUAAGUCAUGGUAAAGUCCAUUUUUCUGAUUCGACCGGUAUAUAUUUAAGAUUAGAGAUGAAUGAUAUCUUGUAGCUCUGAGAUCUGUAAAGACAAGAACAAAAGAUUUGGAACUCAACAUAUCUUAGUAGCCUAGAUGACUACUUAGAAUUGAACGACAUGGUGAAUAUAGCUAAAAUUGCUUGCCAAGGAUUUCUUUUGAGCAAAUAUCAUUACUUCACUUUCGUGAAAAUCAAAGGACAAUGAUAAGAAAUCAGUGAUAGCUUAGUGUAAUUGACCUCAGUGAUAGCUUGUGUAUCAUGGAUCAUCUGACAUGAAAUCACUUGCACAGCAAAAGAAAAACAGCAGAAAAAGGAAAUAUUGGUCAUUUGGCAGAAUAGUUCAUCAAUAUAUUCAAAAUGAAAUUGUGUCAGCUGGCAACAACUUGGAAAUUUUGCAUUAAGUAUGUGUGACAUUGUCAUACCACACCGCUCCAUGUCUCUCUGUUUCAGUAUAUACAAAAUCAAAGGAAGAUUAGAAAAUGGAGAACUUUUUAUAUGUCUAGCGAAUCCAAUUAGGGAAAAUUUUAAAGAUGGAUAUUGAUAAACGUAAGAACCUGUGAAAAGCACCUAUUGCAAGACAACAUAGUCCAAUAUUUGAGAAAGUAUGAAAAUAUGUGAAGCUGCAAAAGUCUUAAAAUUGCACCUAGAGAUGUAAUUAAGCAUAAUGUUAAUUUGGAAGCAAAAUAAAAUGAUUGAAGUGCUACGGCAUAAUUGCGUAGUUCUCACACCGAUCAGCUAAUUUUCACCUCUGUCUCAACUUUUGCAACUACUAACAGAUCCUUGCAGUUUGGAUUACUGAGCGAAUACUUUGUGUGCCAGUUCACCUAUGUCCGUAUUUCCAACUUGUAGUGAAUGAUCCACCUGCUAGAAAGAUGUGCGGAUGGGAUUAAUAGGCAAUGCAUCAAUAUGAAAAGAUAGGUACCAGAGCUGGUAGAAUAAACAUGUGAACACUAUCUCCGCCCUUCAAUUGGUGGUAAAAUAGUCAAUAUGUGAGGCAAUAGAACGUUGGAUAUGCCACUCCACUUGCCGAAACAAACCAAAAACUUAUUCAGGCUGGUCAACCGGCAGCAGUUUUUUGUACCCUAAUAGUUUCGAGCAAAGUACCUACAAAUUGAGCGAUAACCGUUUGAUUCAUGCCGAACACUUUGUGGACCUGUGAGGACAGGGCUAGCAGAUGCAUGAGGGGAGGAAACAAUGGGAUAAAAUGGUAGCUCAGGGUGAUUAUUUGGCUGCAAUAAACCUGAUCUGCAUCUGCCUGACAUGGCGGAUUUUGAGACAGACGAUAACAGGGCAAUGGGGCUGGGGGACUCCACUGAUUUGCCUUCACACCGGCUGCUACCCGGCUACCCGCGCUGCAUCUCAUCCAGCCAUGAGCCCUUGUUGUGUGACCAGGAGGAAUGCAAGAGCAGCCCCUGAGUAGAACGAAGAUGAGAGUGAAUUGGUUGGUGCUGGAGACUCCUCAUUGAAGUUCUCUUGUGCUUGCCUCGUUGGAUAUGAUGCUCUCAGCACUUUCCAGAAUUUUACUGAUAAAACAGAGGAGGAAGAGAAAGGAACAAAUAGAGAAAUUUUUUAUAGAGUAACAGAUAGAAAGUUAAGGGUGAGGCAAGUGCUGCUUGGAAGAAGGCGAACAUUAGUUGCUUGAAUGGGCCUAAGCUGCUCGGCCAUUUUUCUUUUUUCAAGCUGCAAAGUGCGAAGGACCAGCCAUGCAUGAUUAGUGACAUCAGAUGUAAUUAUUGCUGCUGAUGUGGCUCGUCAAGGGAGCAGGAAAAUUACUUAGUGGGAGGCAACUAUUUAGUAAUAGAGGAUUGGCUUCCAUAAUAUGAAAGAAAUAGAUUUUUUAUUUUGCACAAAUAGCUGUUCGCAAGUGUAAGGAAGACCCAAAAGUUAAACAAUAUCGUGUGCUAAUUUCUCCAGUCGAAAAUAACAACCGUGAAACCUUUUGCAUUUCAUGACAAUAAUCUGCUAUGGCGAUGAAAAUCAUAAAAUAUGAUUGGUUCCUAGAUCAUAUCAGGUGUUACCUGUGAUACACUAGCUUCUUUCCUACCCCUUCCUGUUAGAUAAAUGGAUGCUUGUACUAGCAAAUUUCUUUCUGGUUUGUGGUAUCCAUGGAUAAGACAAUCAUGGCAGCUUAAAUUGUGUUGUGCUUAUUUACCUUUUCUUGGGUACCAGCUGAAUCCACCACCUUCAGAAGCUCUGAAAAGAAUGCACAUGCUUGCAUGUGAUCCUGGCAUAAUUGCGAUCAUGAACAAGGUAGUCUUUCAUUGCGUUUUCAUAUUUACAGAGUUUUUUUUUCUCAAACACAUACUUACACAGUUAUUUUUUUCAGCAUAGAUGGCGAGUGGGAAUCAUGACUGAAAUGGCACCAGUAGGCUAUGUAGGUGUUAGUCCAAAGUGCAUUUUAGGUUUCAAUAAGGUGAAAAGCUGUUUUCCCUGCAGUGCGUGUAUAGAUAUUUACGAUACAGCAAUUUCUGAUUUCUGAGAAUAUACCUUUGUGUUGCAUUAUUCAUAUAGAACAUGGGAGAGGAGAUAUCCCUUCGUCUAAGAACUGAUGACUUGAAAGGAUUUAGAAAAUAUGAAAGUAUCAAGAAGACUCUACUUCAUGAACUUGUAAGGUUUUUUGGUUCUUAUGCAGUAAAUCGGUUUUGCUAUAAUUAUGGGGUUUAAUAUUUUUGUACUUGUAUUUUCUUAUUUCAGGCACAUAUGGUGCACUCUGAGCAUGAUGCCAACUUUUUUGCUCUUAAUAAGCAGGUUAUUUUUCUAGAUACCCCUGAUGUCUUUGGUUGUCAUCUCUUUACUUAGAUUUUAAUCCGAUCCUGAAGCUGUAAUUAUUAUUUAUUCAGUUGAAUGAGGAAGCUGCUUCCUUGGAUUGGACCAAGUCAAGUGGUCAUGUGCUGAGUGGUCGCAAAAUCUUCGACUCCUAUGAAGAUGAGUUUGUUCUGGAACCGGAUGCUGAUGUUGUUGGUCAUAAGCUUGGGGGAGGAUCAAGUUCGUCAGCAAGUGCUGGUGUGUUGUCGGGGGCUGCUGCUUAUCAGCGUCUCUUGAAUGCAGCUUCAACUGAUUUAGGGAGUUCCCAUAAUAGAGUUGUUACAGCCACAAAGAGAGGUAAUAUGCAAGGCACACAAGUUGAACCUGACCCAGAUGAUGAUGACCAAGAUUUAGUUCAGGAAAUUGUGAAGGUCGAGCCUGACCCAGAUGACAAUGAUGCCAUGCAUGUAGAUAUAGCAAUUGUGACAUCAGGGCCAUCAGGUAAUAUGCAAGGCACACAAGUUGAACCUGACCCAGAUGACAAUGGCAAAGAUUUAGUUAACGGAAUUGUGAAGGUGGAGCCUGACCCAGAUGACAAUGAUGCCAUGCAUGUGGAUGUAGCAAUUGUGACAUCAGGGACAUCAGGUUAUUCCGAGCCUGAUCCUGAUGAUGCUGGCGAGAAAAACUCUUUAAGUAGCCUAGAACCUGAUCCUGAUGAUUCCCCUGUUGUUGGCAUUCUUAACAAGGAGAUGAAGAUUGAUGUGAAGCAUUGCAAAGAACCUGAUCCUGAUGAUGGUGCUGGUGAAUUUGUCCUGGAUUCGGGAAACAAGAUGGAAGUGGAGAGGGAGCCGAGAGGUAACACGUCAGUUUUGAAGUCUGAACCUGAUCCUGAUGAUUCCUCAAAUGCUAUUCUGAACAAGAAGGUGAGCAUUGGCGACAAGCACAUGAGAGAACCUGAUCCUGAUGCUAGUACCUGUGGAGCUGUUAUGAAAUCUGGAAAUAACAUCGAAGUGGAGAUUAGACCGAGUAACUCCUUAAUUUUGAAGUCUGAACCAGAUCCUGAUGAUCAUGCUGUCGAUUUAAGCAGCAAUGAGCUGCAAAGGAUCGAAGAGCCAGUUACCGCUCUCUUUUCUCGUCUCCAAAAGGCUAUUGAAAUGCUUCGGUUGCAAGCAACACCUCCAGAGGCAGCUACAGUACUUCAGACACUCUUUAAGAUUAUCAAGAAUGUGAUAGAAAACCCAAAUGACAUUCGAUAUCGGAGAUUGCGUAAGGUAUGAUUGGUUUUUUUUAUGCCAUUCUAUGCCCUUGAUCUACUAAAACAGAUUCUUACUAAUGCUCAUCUUUUUUGAACUUGUAGUCCAAUCCGCAUUUCCAAAGGAGUGUGGCGAAUUAUAAAGGUACAUCUCUUACCUCUGCAAACUAACUACCCCUUUAGUAAUGAUAAUCUGCUGUACACUGACUGUCACUUUCCUUACCCCUCAACCUCAGCUGCGAUGGAGGUCCUUGAGUUGAUUGGCUUCUGCGAGGAUGUCGUCUCGGAUGAGAUUGGUCGUGCAGAGGCUUACUUGGUACUGAAAAGGAACGAUCCUGGAUUGCUGUGGCUUGUAAAAUCCUCUCUCGAAGUAUCCAUGGCUUGAUAACUUCCAUCUAUAGUUCCAUCUGUAUACCCUGUUGAUUGUAUACCUGUAUAUCAUGGUUUUUCAUUCCCUAUAGUAACUGGUUUCAGUGUGAGUUUCCUGAAUGGAAAUUUGCUCAAAUUGUAUAAUGAGAAUGAGAGCAUCAAACAGUGUGUGUUGUUUGUCAGCUUCCCUUUUGUUCGUCAAAUUUGUGAUGGCAGAUAGAAUGUGAAGGCAAUCCCCAAAGAGGCAAUUCGUAGGGUAUUUUGUCAUCCUACGUUUUGCAGAACGGGCAUUGGAUGUUCACGGCCUCGGUGGUCCCGAUGACUCCAAUUUCGGCAAUUAAUAUGAGACGGUGGGAGUAUUAUUUUUGCAGCAAUCUUCGUAUAUUGAUUUGCGUUCAGAAUUCUGAACUUUUUUUUGAGAGAGAGAGGUGUUCAGAAUUUGAAAUUCGUUUGGUUUCCAGUGUCAACCAGGGACGACCGCAUCGGACGUUGUUUUCCCUACCAAUCCAAACCCUCUCUCGGCCGUUCGAUGCCUAUCGAACGGUCAAACGUAUCAGAAGCUUCAAAAUUCCGAACAAAAUACUCCCCUCCGCGGCGAAACCGGUGAUAGAAAUGGAAUGGCUCCGCCUCACCUGCUGCCGCUCCUCCUCGGCCGUCUCCUCGUCUCCGGCGACCUCCGCAGCAGCCCCGCGCACCUCCGCCGCCUCGUGCCCCUCCUCCCCUCCCACCCCCACCUCGCCGCCGCACUCUCCAGCCUCUACUUCCCGCUCUUCCCCUCAUCAUGCACUUUCCUCCACAACCUUCUCAUCCGCGCCUCCGCGACCUCCCCUUCCCCUCGCCUCGCCUUCGCGGCAUUCUCCUCCAUCCUCCGCUCCGGCGACACCCCGGAUCGGUUCACCUUCCCUUCCCUCCUCAAGUCGGCCUCCAGGCUCGCCUCAUUCCCGCGCACGGGCGCGCAGGUGCACGCGCAGGCCGUCCGGCGCGGGCUCUUGGUCGACGUCUUUGUGGUCAACACGCUCCUUGCCAUGUACGCCGCGUUCCGGGACACUCGGUCGAUGCGGGAGGUGUUCGAUUCGUGCGCGGGGGUCGCCGACCUGGUUACCUGGAACACGAUGCUCGGUGGCUACGUGAAGUGUGGGGAGAUAGGGGAGGCCAGGAGGGUGUUCGAGCAAAUGCCCCAGAGGAAUGGGGUGUCCUGGAGCGCGAUGGUGGGGGCAUACGCGGGUGCAGGGGAGCUGGAUGUGGCGAGGGAGAUGUUUGAUGAGAUGCCGGCCAUUGGGAGGAACGUUGUGAGUUGGAACUCGAUGAUAACGGGAUUUGCGCGGCAUGGGCUGCUGCCGCUGGCCAGGAAGAUGUUCGAUGAGAUGCCGGUCAGGAAUCUGGUAUCAUGGAACACGAUGGUCCGGGGGUAUGCAGUGAACGGUGAAAUGAAUGAUGCGAGGGAGCUGUUUGAUAGGAUGCCGGAGAAGGAUGUCGUUUCUUGGACAUGCAUGAUAUCCGGGUACGCGCAGGCUAGAUGCUACACGGAAACCCUUGAGCUGUUCAGGGCAAUGCAGAGCGAGAGCAAUGUCCUUCCUAAUGAGGUGACCAUGGUGAGUGUGCUGUCUGCGUGCGCACAUUUAACAGCUCUGGAAGAAGGGAGGUGGGCUCACGCCUUCAUUGACAAGCACAAGAUGGUGCUCGACAGUGAGUUCAAUCUUGGCGCUGCUCUCAUAGACAUGUACUCAAAAUGUGGGAGAACCGACUUGGCCGUCAAAAUUUUCCACUCCUUGGACCAGAAGAAUGUCUCUGCCUGGAAUGCACUCAUCACUGGGUUGGCAGUAAAUGGUGAUGUUCGGAGUUCCAUUGAUGUGUUUGAACAGAUGAGAAGGUCAGGAGAAAAACCGAAUGGCAUAACAUUCGUUGGUGUGCUGACCGCUUGUGCCCACGGUGGGCUGGUGGAUGAGGGCCGGCGGUGCUUUCAGAGCAUGGCAUCUACUUGUGGAGUGCAGCCAGAAGCGAAGCACUAUGGCUGCAUGGUUGACAUGUUAGGCCGGGCAGGGCUUCUUGAAGAGGCAGAGGAGCUGAUCCGGAGCAUGCCGAUGGUCCCGGAUGUAAUGAUUUUGGGCGCACUACUAGGCGCCUGUCGGAUGCACAAAAGAGUUGAUGUGGCCGCACGAGUUCAGAAUGAAAUACUUGGCCUCAGUACACAGCAAUCUGGUUGCCAUGUUUUGAUAUCUGACAUUUACGCUGCUGCUGGCAAAUGGGCUGAUGCUCUAUAUGCGAGGGGUGUUCUGCAGAAGUUUGGCAUCAGUAAGUUGCGCGGAUCAUCCAGAUCGAUGCAAUAGGUUUUGAGUUUCUUUACAGAAGCGUAGGCAAUGUCAUACUAGAUUACAUUCUUUAGCAAAAAUGUUGUGCUUUGUGGUUUAUGAAUACAAGUUAUUGAGAAUGGGAGUAGAUCAGUUAAAAAUUAUGUUGAAAAGAGUGCUCAACUACUCGUUGUCCUUCUGGACUGAAUUGGAAAUCAAAACGUGUAUUUCUCCUCAUGAGAUAAUCAAUUCUCUGAUCUACACUUGCUUAGAGUUGUCGAAAUUCACUGAUAGAGCUUUUGUUGACUUGCUUAUGUUGUCCUGGGCAAUUAGUGCACGAUUUCAUAAAACUGUCAACUUGGCUGUGUUUUUCUUCACAAUUUGUCCACGAAUUUCAUAAAACUUACAAUGGCAAAUUUUGAUUCUUCGGAACGCAUAUAAUAAUGUAUUAGUUUUUCAAAUUUCUGGGUGCAGACAAAUGAUCUGCUUAGGCUGUGGCUCAAAGGAAACAGUACUGCUGAAAAGACCUGUCAUGUAUUAAGAUGGUAUUACAGACUUGCAGCAAGUUGGAGAGAUCUUAAGCUAUCUGUAGAGAGAGUUUAUCGCCCAUCACAACUCCAGCAAUACUGGAGCAAAUGGAGCGGGAUGGUUCGGACUUCGGAAUCGGGGGAAGGCAUCAGACCGGAAUUGAGGAGCAAUUCCAGGACUUAAUUCUCAUAUCAUCCAAACAACCGAAUUUAAGGAAGGGAAUGCCAAUUCCGAAUUCUGCGCUGGAAUAUCUACUCCUGAUCUUGGCAAUACACUUCAUGGCGACAGGCCUGCACAAGCACAACAGAACUAAAGAAACAGGUACGCAUCUGGAACAUUUUUAAGCCGAAGGCGCUAAAAGGGAUUUAGGGCCAACAUGACAUCUGAAACGUUUUAAGUCGAAGGCACUAAAAAGGAUUUAGGGCCAACAUGACAAGCUGACUCUCAGGAUUGAGAGGCUGAAGAGCACAACAGAACUAGAGAAACAGGUACGCAUCUGGAAUGCUUUAAGUCUAAGACGCUAAAAAGGAUUUAAGGCCAACAUGACAAGCUGACUCUCAGGAUUGAAGCUGAAGAAAACUUUCACAGUUUUGAGGAAUUCGCACAUUUGGUUAGAAAAUCACUGAUUAUUUUCUAAAUGGGCCUCUGUACUAUUAGUAAGGGGCUUUGGAACAUUAGCUACAGAUACAUGAGGAAAAAUGCAAGGUAAAUAUAUAUUCAAAAGAAAUUGUAGCAAGAACCCGUACCUUCGUCCACGUAAAAGUAGCGUUUCUCACCAUUUUUGAGAGGUUUCAGAAAUUCCAAAGCUGUAUCUUGUGUAAACGUUGUACACAAGUCAAAUAGAAGUAACAGCAGGUAAAAUUGCACGAUUAACCGAAAGAUACUACAAUAAUAAUAUAAUAAUAUGGCAACGACAGGCAGUUCUAGUCACAUAGUAGGACACAGUAACCCAAUACAGGCUCGCUCUAAACAUAAACUUUGAUUAAAAAAAAACUAGUCGACCUCUUCCAUCUUGCUCUCCCCGGCAUCGUCCUCCAGUGCUGGCAUGUCAGUGUCGUCGGCCUCGGCGGUCUCGUCUUCGUCAAUGCUCAGGCCAAGCUUGAGCAUGCGGUGGAUCCUGGUGCCGAAGGUGUUGGGGUCGUCCAGGCUGAAGCCAGAGGUGAGCAGGGAGGUCUCGAAUAGCAGCAUCACCAAGUCCUUGACAGACUUGUCAUUCUUGUCAGCAUCCGCCCGCUUGCGCAGCUCCUCCAUGAUGGCGUUCUCCGGGUUGAUCUCCAUUGUCUUCUUGCUUGACAUGUAGCCUCCCAUGCUCGAGUCCCUCAGAGCCUGGGCCUUCAUGAUCCGCUCCAUGUUGGCAGUCCAGCCAUACUCACCAGUGACAAGACAGCACGGCGAGUCAACGACGCGGUCAGAGACAAUGACCUUCUCCACCCUGUCACCGAGCACAUCCUUGAUCACCUUGCAGAGGCCCUCAAAUUUCUCCUUGAGCUCCUCUUUCUUCUUCUUUUCAUCCUCACUGUCCUCAAGCUUCAGGCCUUCCUUAGUGGCAGACACAAGCUUCUUGCCCUCAAACUCCUUGAGCUGGCCAAUGGCAUACUCAUCAAUUGCAUCAACCAUAUAUAUUACCUCGUAGCCCUUCUUCUUCAGCCUCUCCAGGAAGGGAGAGUUCUCCACAGCCUUCUUGCUCUCGCCAGUGAUGUAGUAGAUGUCAUUCUGGCCCUCCUUCAUCCUGGUCACAUAGUCCUUGAGGCUGGUCAGCUCAUCACCGCUCUUCGUGGAGUGGUACCUCAGGAGCUCAGCAAUCUUGGUCCUGUUGGCAGAGUCCUCAUGGAUGCCAAGCUUCAGGUUCUUGGAGAAGGACUCAUAGAACUUGUUGUAGUCCUCCUUGUUCUCGGCGAUCUCAAAGAAAAGCUCAAUGGACUUCUUAACAAGGUUCUUCCGGAUGACCUUGAGGAUCUUGUUCUGCUGGAGUGUCUCUCUGGAGAUGUUGAGGGGAAGGUCCUCGGAGUCAACAAUUCCCUUGACAAAGCCCAGCCACUCUGGGAUCAGCUCCUCACAGUUGUCCAUGAUGAAGACACGGCGCACAUAGAGCUUGAUGUUGUUGGCCUUCUUCCUGGUGUCGAAGAGGUCAAAGGGGGCCCUCUUGGGGACAAAAAGGACAGCCUUGAACUCAAGCUGCCCCUCUACAGAGAAGUGCUUGACAGCCAGAUGCUCUUCCCAGUCAUUUGUCAAGCUUUUAUAGAAAGCAGCAUACUCCUCCUUGGUGAUCUCCUCAGGCUUCCUCAUCCAGAUAGGUUUCUGCUUGUUGAUCAAGGACCAUUCAUGAGAAACCUCCUUGAUCGUCUUCUUUUUCUUCUCUUUCUCUUCCUUCUCUUCAUCAAUUUCCUCAACCUUUCCCUCCUCUGUGUCCUUCUUUUCUUCCUCGUCUUCAUCAUCAGAGAUCUCCUUCUCGGUGGUCUUCUCAGUCCACAGAGAGAUAGGGUAGCUGAUGAACUCAGAGUGUUUCUUCACCAGAUCCUUAAGGCGGCGCUCCUCGAGGUACUCCAACUGCAGAGUAGGAUGGCAAAUUUCAGCAAUAAUUUGAGCAUAGCGGAAAGAAUUGCUGCAGUCUGAACAUAUUAAAAGUAACUACGCAAUGGUGCAAACAGUCAGAAUUGCAUUACUAACAUAUCAUUAUAGUGAACAUUUAUAGACCUUGACAUGUGUGGAUAAGUUAAGAACAGACCGUAUGACCAAAUUCAUUUGUUUGGAUUACUUUACUGAUUCAACUUCAAGCAAUAGCACACACAAUAUCAAAACAAUAGCAAACAAUAGUGCUGGCUCAAUACCAUAGCAGCAUCAAACAUAAAUCCAAUUCAUUCAAUUCAAUGUUGCAACAACUAUACUGAUCUAGUUUCAUAGCAACAACCCACAGUAAUACUGACACGAUUUGGAGGAGUGCAAAACAAUAAAUCCAAUGCUUAACACUAGCAAGUGUACCUCAAUUUCAUUGCAACAGACAACAAUAAAUUCAUUAAUAGACCAUAGCAAUUAUCAACAACUCUUAUUCACUUGCAUACCCAAAUUCCAACUUCAGUUAACACUCCCAGUUCAACAAUAAAUGAUCACCAAUAACAAAACCAGCACCUUUCAUUCAUUUUAAUAGCAACAGAGCAUGAACAGCACACAACAAGAAUGUGUCAUGAAAAGAUCAAACCAGCCACACAAACUAUCAAGACUAACAUACCAAACUAAGCUGCAAACAGAACGUAGCACAGGCAGCCAGUGCAUGUAAAUAAUAUUAUUCUUCUAAAAUAGCGCACCAGGCAAGUGCAUGUAUAUUAUCAUUUGGAGGGCUAUGUUUUGUUGUACCUGAUCUUCCUUGAGAUAGAGAGUCAUCUUCGUACCCCUUCCGAGGGACUCUCCAGUAUCACGGGUAACAGUGAAGGACCCACCAGCCUGAGACUCCCAAACAUACUGCUCAUCAUCGUUGUGCUUGGUGGUCACGACGACUCUAUCAGCAACAAGGUAAGCAGAGUAGAAGCCAACACCAAACUGACCAAUCAUGGACACAUCAGCACCAGCAGCCAAUGCCUCCAUGAACUCCUUGGUCCCGGACCUUGCAAUCGUACCAAGGUUGUUCACCAGAUCUGACUUGGUCAUACCAAUACCACUAUCAAUAAGCGUGAGCGUGUUUGUGGCCUUGUCAGGGACAAUGUGGAUGAACAGCUCUGGCUGAGCAUCAAGCUUGCUCUUGUCAGUCAGGCUCUCGAACCUGAUCUUAUCCAAUGCCUGCAGAACAGAGCAUCCAAUUUAGUGAAAAUUUCACAAACGGCAUCCAAUCAACAAUGUAAAACAACUAGGAUAUUAACCGGAGACUGAUGCUUUACAAAAACUAAGAAAACAAUGCUUGUUUAGAAUGAGCAUACAGCCUAUUUUCGCAAUUUUGCUCAAACUAGGCUACUUGGGAUUCCAAUGUUGUGGGAGUAGUGAAUUUAACUGAACAAAAUCAAGAGUAAUUCUAUCUACAUGCAAAUCUACCUUAGAGAUUUGAAGGUGGGAGACCAAUGAUUCUAAGAAAUUAAUAAAUCUUAAUAAUCAGCACAAACGCAAUCUAGUCGUCUUAAUAUUUAAGCUUAUAUGAUUGAAGGAUUUAAAGCAUAGCACAUACGCUCGAUUGAGCUUUCAACAGAGAGUAAUUGUUUUGAACGCUAGUUUAAUGGGCAAAUCAGCUCACUAACCACGGGAGUUUCAUAUUUGACAUACCACGGAGUCCAGAGAUCAAAAUAAUUUAAUGAUACGCCUUAUGCACAGAACGGUACACAUAUCGCAGAUUCACAGUAUGAUUGAAAAUCACACCGAUCUAUUUUUUAUGCAUCAUAACGUCCACAGAUCUAGAGCGGCAAGGGCAAACAAAAACAAAGGUACAGGGGCCGCGGGGUAGGGAGCUUACAUCGGAGGAGUUGGAGAUGAGCUCGCGGAGGAAGAUCUCCUUGUUGGAGUAGAAGGUGUUGAUGAUGAGCGAGAGCAACUGGUUGAUCUCCGCCUGGAAGGCAAAGGUCUCCGUCUCCGAGGCCAUGGCGCCGGAACCCGAGGGGAAGAAGACGGCGGCUAGGGUUUUUGAGCGGGUACCAGGGUUGCUGUAAGGCUAGGUCAGAGAGGGGAUGCGUGGGGGAGCGGAUUUAUAGUGAGGGGAGGGGUUCUGGAACGUUCUAUGCCACGCGAUGCAAUGGGGAGACGACGCGCGAGGUCAGGGUCAAGUUGACUAGUCGUUGGGCCCGAGUUCCUGUGGCCCACAUGUCAGUUAGAUAGUCUAAGUUGCUCUCCAGAAGCUUCUACGUUUUGUCUAUGAAUGAGUCAACGAUGAAAUGGGAAUGAAUUCAUUUCUUAUGCACAAUUUUCACAAUUUAGCAAACCAACGUGAUUUAAAUCUCUCUCAUGUAACAUACUACGAGACAAUUCAUUGAGAAUGUUGUUUAAGUUCAAAAUUGCGCUAAAUCAAUGCCAAUAAUUUAGGAUCGGAGGGAGUACUACCGUUGUUCAAACUAUAAGAUUUUAUAAUUUUGUCUUAAAUCAAACUUCUUCAAAUUUAUAUAAAACUACCGAUGUCUACAACUCUAAGUUAAUGUUAUUAAAUUCCCUAUAAAUCUUUAUAUACUUAUUUGAUAUUUUAGAUAUUGGUGUAUUUUUAUAGCGUUGGUCAAAUUUUAACGAGCGAAUUCAAAUUUUGCCCCAUGUUUGGUAAUUGUCAAAUGUUUACCCCGUUAUUUAAUUUUGUGCUAUAUUUUUAUCCUCUAUUUGUAAAUAUGAGUCCGUUUUUACCCAUCUAACCAAUUUGCCUGGUUUUUGACAUGUUGUACCACCUGUUGCUGUUGGGGUGACAUGGCUAGUCAAUGCCUAACAUGUUGAAAGCCUACUUUGGUAUGGCACUUUCUCCCUCUCCUUAACCGCCCCGGUUACCAACACCAACUCAUUUUCUCCAUGUUUUUUUUCUUAUAGUUAGGUCAUAGUUUUUGAGAAUUUCAAAUCUUCUACUCCCUCCGUACAACAAAAGAUGUCUCAAGUUUAUCAAAAUUUGGAUGUAUCUAGACAUGACUUAGGGAGCGUUUGGUUUCUUCGCUCAGUUGGCCCGUUGCUGAGCUAGCUCACCUAUCAUGGCUGGGCAUUGCUAGUUUUCCUGUGUCUUGCCAUUUGGUUGUUUGCUUUUGAGUUGACCAGAUUGUGGUUUCCGUGAGGAUCAGGCAGUUUUUCUUCUUGGGACCGCUUCUUGUCGUCGGAGGCGAGCCGAUCUGGCUCUCCCUUGCGGGCAAGGAAUUUCUGGCCCGUUUGAGCUAGCUUGCCUCCAAAAGUCAGGAUAAAUUGACAGAUCCAAACGUUGGGCCUUGCUGGGCUAGGCUAAUUGAGCUUUUGCCUGGGAACCAAACGAACCCUUAGUGUAUAGAUGCAUUCAAAUUUAGUCAAAGUUGAGACAUCUUUUGUUGGACGGAGGAAGUAUGAGUUUUUUUUGUCAAAUGUAAAAAAAUCAAAAUGUUGUUUCUCAAAAAGUUCAGAAAUUGUUGUAAAAUUUAAUGGAAAAAACUUUUUUUUGUGACCUAGCUAAAAUACAAGUCCAUUGCUUUAGGUUUUAGCACAUUUAGAGCACUGCAAUUCAUUAUCAUGUCCAUGGUACAAAACGCUUUUUUAUUUUAAUACAUUGAGGAUAGAACAGGCUCGUGUUGAAUACACGAUCAUUUACAUUUGUAACUUAAAAAAAAAUCUUUGAACUAUUGUAUAAUCUUUGAUGUUCAUCUCUCGAGCACAUGCUCCCGUUAGCUUUUGUGCCUCUCUGUCAUAUCUUGUUCUGUUUUUUUGUUCAUGUUCGAAGAUUUGAAGCAUCCUCCAAUUUAGAAAAAAAAAACGUGCAAAGAAGUUUCUGGAAGAAGGGGAGGCUCAGAGGACGCGGAGCAUCUCGUCAGCGAAAACUCCCAACGACCCGGAUGCGUACUCCAGAUGCGUUCAAUUCAAUCCAGUGGUCCAUUUCCAAGCUCCAACCAGGCCCAUGGAAACAAGACACGGGCAACUACAGCUGGUAAGGGUAAACGAAAACCAGCAAGAAAUUUCGACUUCGAGCGGUACUUAUCUCUGAACGUGCAUGCAGCAGACGGAGAUACAGUCAAACAAAAGAGGAAAAGGGCAAAAGAAUGAUACCUUGCUUCGCAGGGUAGUAGAAUCCGGGACCAGAUUGGUUGUACAUCCAACUCCAACUGUAAAGACUAGAAGAAGACACAAUUACAAGAGCUUCUUUGCAGAGAACUCUUUGAUAAGGGAGGUAUCGUUCCGUUUCAAAAAAAAAAAAAGACAAGGGAGGUAUCGUUUGUGGGACUCCCUUGAAAUAAAGCUUUCAGCAACAACAACAACAACAAAAAAAACUCCCUUGAAAUAAAGCUUUCAACAAAAGAAGAACUCUUCAGUCAAUCUCAGGAGUUUACAGGUCUCCAGGCCUAACAACUCAUUAGAUCAUGCUUUGCAUUCAGAGGGAGUCGGACCAGAAGGGAAUACUCAAGCUUAGGUAAGACUGAGGUACAAUGAGUGUCAGAUAAAAAGAAAGACUGAGGUACGAUGGACUGGAGACUCACAGGAUCGCGAUCUACAUCAUCGCUCAGAGCGAAUCGCUCUGGCCAUUACUAGGACCACUGGACCAACGAUCCUUUUUUGAGUUGUACAAAGUGGAGCAAGGCAGUGUAUGUCUGUCCAAAGUGGCGACACAGAAGGGUGUUGUAAGGAACAUUACAAGACUGUGAUUCCAAUGCAAAGAUGGAUUUUUGGUUGAAUACUGUAGUGAAAACUUAUAUGAUCCAAAGAAACUACGGAAAUUCGUGCGUGUCAGAAACGUUUGAUGCGCCUGCAUCCAGGAAUACCGGCACACCUUCUCUGGAUUUCUCUUGAGUUUUGGUUUGAUUUUGCUUGCGCUCGAAAUAGUUGGCGUGGCUGAUGAGCGGCAUGCACGAGUCGAGAGCACAGCAUUCUGGUUGCCCUGUUGGUGAAGCGAGGUGUGUGUUCUGCACAAGUGCGGCAUCAGUACCAGGAAAUUCCCGGAAAAACACUACUACACGAUGCCAUCGAGCUGCCUUCUGUUUUUCCAGCCGCAGUGUUCUUGACUCGAACAGAUUGCAGCUUCCUUCCUUCCAGAACGAUCUUAAUUCAUGUAAAAGUGGAUUGUUUCGAAUGGAGGCGUCCAAGUCGUCGGCUUGGUCGUCGAUUUUCGUUCUGCAGAUACUUCCUCUUGUUUCGAUCAGACAGAAACUCAACUUGGCGGAUCAUCGAGAACAACACCAAUCACGUGUAUGCACUGCUGUUCAAUCAGUACUCCGUACAAGAUUUGUUCGUUAACGCAACACGCUGGCGGAUCGAUGCCUGCCGACACCUAUCAAAUCACGCGUGCACUGCAGUGUUAUUCAAGCACAUGAUUUGUUUGUUAGGUGUGCACGUCAAAUUGAAGGCCCCCCAUGCAUGCAUCCUGGAUCACACGCGCAAUAGUACUACACGAUUGCCUUUCCCCCCUUUGUCUUAUAGCAAAAUCCCACAGAUGCAUAACGUGUUCAUUCCUCUUCCAUUAAUUUUCAGAAGAUUUUUCCUUGCCAGGGCCGGCCAUGAGAUAUCUACAUACUGUAUAUAGGUUCCGUCCAGGCUGCAGAGAAGCAAAGUCAUCAGAGAGGUACUGGAUCACCGGACCAAGCUAAUAAUAGUUGCUUAGCCAUGGUCACGAAGAUUUUUCUUGGUAUUUCCCUUUUCGUGAUAUCCAUCCAACUGGUCGCCGGCGACGACGACGGCAGGCUGAGCAAGGUCGUGCGGCAGGUGCCGGCGAUGUACGUGUUCGGGGAUUCGACGCUGGACGUCGGCAACAACAACUACUUGCCGGGUAACGAUGUCCCCAGGGCCAACAUGCCACCGUACGGCGUGGAUUUCAGAGGCUCCAAGCCCACCGGACGGUUCAGCAAUGGCUACAACAUCGCCGACUCUAUCGGUGCGUACAUAUAUAUACAUGUGUAUAACUGUACAUAUGUAUCCUGUAUUUAUAUGCGCACGUACGCAUGAGGCGUGAGAGACUUAUAUAUUACAGCAUACUGUACAUAUUUUUGCAGCGAGGACGCUGGGACUGAAGGAGAGCCCUCCGGCUUAUCUGUCGCUCGCGCCACGAAGCAGCAUCCGUCUGGUCCUCGCCGCGCUCAGCGAAGGCGUCAGCUACGCGUCGGCUGGAUCCGGCAUACUGGACUCCACUGUAAUCAAGCGAGCUUAAUUGCUUCUCAGCCUAUAAGCACUGUUGUCAAUGUUAAUCACGAUGGUUGAUGCAUCUAUGUCACCAUGUGCAGAACGCUGGGAACAACAUCCCGCUGUCGAAGCAGGUGAGCCACUUGGCUUCCACGAAGCGCAAGAUGGAGGCCACGGUGGGCGCCCGCGCCGUGCGCCGCCUGCUGUCCGGCUCCUUCUUCCUCCUCGGCACCGGCAGCAACGACGUAUCCGUCUUCGCCGCGACCCAGCCGGCGGCCGGUGACGUGGCCGCGUUCUACGCCAGCCUCGUCUCCAACUACUCGGCCGCCAUUACCGUAAGCAUCCAUCCAUCCACGCAGACUCGUACAAUACCAGAUGCAUUCUUAGACUAUUUACGUAUAUACAUACAGGAUUUAUACGAGAUGGGGGCGAGGAAGUUCGCGGUGAUAAACGUGGGCCUGGUGGGCUGCGUGCCAAUGGCGCGGGCGCUGAGCCCAACGGGCUCGUGCAUCGGCGGGCUGAACGACCUCGCCUCGGGCUUCGACGCCGCGCUGGGCCGGCUCCUCGCGAGCCUGGCCGCCGGGCUGCCGGGCCUGUCGUACUCCCUCGCCGACUACCACGGCCUGUCGACGGAGACCUUCGCGAACCCGCAGGCGUCCGGGUACGUGAGCGUCGACAGCGCCUGCUGCGGGAGCGGAAGGCUGGGGGCGGAGAGCGACUGCCUGCCGAAUUCCACGCUGUGCGGCGACCAUGAUAGGUUUGUGUUCUGGGACCGCGGCCACCCUUCCCAGCGGGCCGGCCAGCUCAGUGCCGAAGCUUUCUAUGACGGCCCGGCCCAGUUCACGGCUCCUGUCAGCUUCAGGCAGCUGGCUGACAUGGAUGCUAGCUAUUAGUAGAGGAUUAUUAUUGGUUUUGCAUGUAGUUAUGCUGAGCUACCUUCGAAUAAAAUAUGGUACUUCCCCCCUCUCAUAAUUCUGGUCGAAAUAUUACAUGUAUUUAGUUAUUUUUUAAAAUAAAUAUAUUUAUUUUUGGAUAAAUUUGAGACCGGAAUUAUGAAACGGAGGGAGUACCAAGGAUUGGAUCUUCGAUCUUCCAUGCACUCCCGUCGUAAGAACUUGAGUGAGGAUCCAUCAUGCAUUCUGGCUAAGGAUGUAAUUAAUUAUGAUUUCAAAUUUUCAACAAAUGCAACAACAAGAAUGGUCAUGGACUAUAAAUUAGAGACCAUUUGAAAUCCAUUUUACGCUCAGUUGCCACAAAGGGAUGAUAAAGUAGACCGUAAUCGUGUAGACCAAAUAACCGACCGAGUAAUAUAAUAAGUUCAAACCGACCGAGUACUUAUUUAUUUUUGAAGUUAAACUGUAAGGGUUGCGCGAUUGCAGUCCGACAGUAUAUAGAUAUAUAUAAUUCUACAAAAUGAGACACCAAAGUACGACCUUCGAAGAUCGAACUCUGGUGGGCUGUCAGCAUACCUGGCUAGCUGACCACCUAAACUAUGCUUGGUUCUCGACCUAGUACUUAUUGGAUUACUCGGUGGGUUAAGUGAACUUAUUGGAUUACUCGGUCGGUCAUGUGGUCUACUCGACUACAGCCUAAUUUAAAACUUCCCGCACACCUUGUUUAUGAACCUUGUGCUAGCUGUGGCAUGGCAGUAACUGCAGCUCUGCACGGACCGGAAUCAACUGAAGCUGCAGUUGGUGUAUUGGUCGGACUCGGAGUCAAAUUGAUCCCCGCGUGAUGCAUGGCGCCCGGGGUACAAAUAUGCCGUUGCCAUGCCUGCCCUCGAUCGAAAUCAAAACCGAAAUCGAAGGCUCUCGAACCGGCCCCCGGCCGGCGCUUCGACGUCACCGUUCGGCGGCGAGGCCAUGCCCAUACCCCAACGGCUGGCUGUCGUCGUCAAAACGCCGCCUCCACGGCCGGAACGGCAGCAGCGAGCACCGUGGUCCGACCGCGGCCCUGCCGGCCGACGUCCUCUCGCUGAUCCUGGCGCGCGCGUCGUCGGGCGCCGCUGACGUGGCGGACACGCACGCCGCGCUCAUCUGCCGCCGCCCUCUCGAUACCACACCCGCCUUGCCCUCGGUUUCUUCCACCAGCAACACGAACGCGUCCGCGCCGUCUUCCCCAGCCGCCGGACGACGACCGCGCAGCCCCGCUUUGUGCCCACAGCGUCCGCCUCGCGCCUCCUCCUGGGCCCGGGCUCUCAUCAUCUCGAUCCAGGUCCAGGCCCACCAGGCCUGUUCGACUACGCCCGCCCGGUCGCGUCCCGGAACGGGCGCGUCGUGCUGGCGCUGCGGCGACGGGCUGACGCUCAGCGUGUUGAACCCCAUGACCGGGGACGUGUCCGUGCUCCCCGCGCUCUCGGGCGACGACUGCCCGGGGCAGUGCUACGUGUGCGCCCUGCUCACGAGCGACGACCUCGCCGAUCGAACCACCGGCGCCCGCGGGCUUCUUCUUCCGGGUGCUCCUCGUCUACAACGGCCGGCGCCGCAGCGGCUUCACGGCGCUGCUGGCCUUCUCGUCGGACACCGGCAUGUGGGGCCCGGAAGGCCGGAAGCCGGGGCCCAAGAUGAAUGCCGCCAGGCUGCGCCGGGUAGGCCCCGCGCGCCGUGGCCGUCCGCGGAGUCGUCCAGUAGCGCCACCAUGGACGUGAGCUUCGUGCCCUACAGCACCUCCAGCCUGUACUAUUUCCCGGACUACCGCGUGCUGGGCGUGUCACCGGAUGGGAGCCUCAGCUUCGUCUACGCGACUCUCAAUGGACUCAGCAUCUUUGUCGAGACCCUAGAGCCGCAGGCGGGUCAGUGGGAGACGCGCGAAUGGAUCAAACUGCCCCAGGUCCAGGUGAGCCAUGCGACGACCGCGGUUAAGCUGCGGUGGUUCAACGAGAAGAGCGGCACCGUGCUCUUCACCUUGAGACAGCAAGACGGAGACGACGCCACCAGCGGCGCCUUCCUGUUGAAUAUCGCCACGAGGUCGCUGGAGAAGCUUGCCGGCGGCGUCGAAUGCCAUGGGUGGAGGAACGUUUGCGGAUAUGAGAUGGACCGUGUGGCGCUCAUUGCGUCCACUGCCCGCUUCUGAUCUUCGUACGACACGUACGUACUUUUGGUUCUAGCCAUCGAGAAGAAAACAAGACAUGGAUGUUCAGCAAUUAGUGCUGUUUAACAUAGCUAUAAAGAAUAUGUCAAAUUAUUUUAUUUUGAUAGAAUCUAUCCGAUAAUUACAUAUAAGCUCAUUGACAUAAACUUGAGAGGAGCUGAUCCCAAACGUCACCUCUCGGACCCCAAAAUGUCGCUUGAGAAAACAGCUUAGUUUACAACAACCAUCCACGAAUUCGGAAGCACAAAGGUAGUUUUUUUGAGAGUUCUCCCAAAGGAGGCCCGAGGGGCAAUACACUUGCCGGAGCAAAAUAACCUUCUAGGUAGAAGCUAAGGGAUGCAGCAUAGGUCAUGAUGUAACCACCGAACUGGGGAACACGAUCAACAGAAGGAGGACUGUCAUGGGCAGCCAGAACGCCACAAGACAGCACCAGAGUGCAGUGAGGAUCAAACCAGAUAGCUCAAACAAAACAUGAAAACUACUGGCAAGAGAAACCACAAGCAUCAUCAUUAAGAAGACGCACCAAUGUCAUCUCAUGACAAAAGAUGACGCUGGCUCAUUAAGCAUGAAGAGAUUGCACAAAGUCUUCACCGGAGGGUGGGUUGUCCGAGAGAAGGAAAAGUAGUAAUAUGGUGGUGACAUGCUCUCGAAGAGUGCCACUAGUGUAAAAAUGUCUCCCCAAAGGGGGGGUGAGUUACCCAAUUGAGGAGUGUAAAAGGAGGGCAUAUACGACGACAUAUGAUGACAACAAGGGCAAUCCUGACAGAAGUUUCGAGAUUUGGAGAAGCUAAAUGGAGUUGGAUGAAAUGGGGUGGCGGAUGGAUAUCAGAUCGACCAAAGUUAGCACAACGCACUCUAUCACGGCAUCUCCGGCAGGAGGAAGCCGUCUCCAUGGCAGCCAUCUGCGAAACCAUGGAUCUUGGAAGCACAGCAAUCAAGUUGGUAUAGAGACCUCCAAGUAUAAGCCACGACACCAGGCGUUAAACUAUUGGUGCCGCCACCACAGCUGCCACCUGCAAACCAUGGUUACCGAGGGCAUGGCAGUGCCACAGGCAACGGAGGGAGGGACGAGGAGCAGCAUCACUCUAAUCAAGGUGAACAUCCGGAAAAAUUUGCAAUCUGAGGUGGCAGCGGGUUGGUGGAGUGGGGAGCAAUGAAUGAAGGGGGCGAUACCAGCACUGAAGAUGGCCGAUGAGGAGGCGAAAAUCGGAGUUGGAGGAGCCGUGGAGGGCAGCUUCGGAUCCUGGGACGCGGGCGGAGGCGACGGGCCAGGACUAGGCCGAGCGGCCCGCGGGAGGCGAGACCUGGGCCGGUGUGGAGCCCCAGACGGCGAUGUCAGCGGGCGCUCGGCCGAGCAGACGCCUGAUCUUGCCGUCAGACAAGCCAUCUCGGGAGGGGAGGAGGUGGGUACCGUCGACAGCGAGGUGGGCAGGAGCGGCAGGAGGGAGCAGCGAGUCAGCAGUCCGCCGGAUCUGGCCCGCGCCCGCCGGAUCUACCUUUAUCACGGCGACGACGAGCAUAGGCUACGAGGGAGCUAGGCUAGUCGGAGGCGCGCGGACGUGGCCUUGGCUGAGGACGAUGGCGAGACGACGAUGAGGGGCGGUGCGAACGUGAACCUGCGGCGCAACGCUCUGGAUCAGGAAAGCACCACACAGAGCAGGCCCUUGCACGGGAGAUGGGGUCGAUGGCGAGGCGAGGGGUGGUGAUGGGCGGCGCAGAUGAGGACCCGCGGCGCAGCAUUCCGGAUCUGGACGGGCACGCUGCUCGCCGAAUCCGGCCACCGCAGGCAGGGGGACGAGGCCCGGAAAGCACCUAGGGCCGCAGCCUCGCAGAGCAGGGCGCUCGCAUGGGACAAGCGGCAGCAGCAGCCCCGCCGCCACCAUCCUCGUCCGCUGCGCGAUUUCCGGCGACCAACUCUGAUGGCGACGAGGGGAAGCAGGUGGAGGGAGGCGGCGCUCGGAGGGAAACCUAGUCGCCCCCGAGUCGCUCUCGGGAGGACGACGCGAGGGACGCGUUUUUCCACAAAGGUAUUUAUAUGAGUUGCAUCUGACUAACUGCUUGACAUUAAUAGUUUAUCACAACACAAAUACAUACAAACAGCAAGAACCUUCUUAAAGACUUUCCAGAUCGGAUGAAAUGCGGAUCACUUACUAAUCAAAUACACAGCUGAACUAUCAUGAUGUACUAUAUGCCAAAUAAUCCUAUGCGAUUUGGAAUGAAGAAGAUUGCCGUGAUGAUCAACAAUAUUAACAACAUGAGGUUCAAUACACGAGUAAUUUACAAAAAUCACUGCACAGUAGCUACCAUCAGUCAGUGGCGGAGCCAGGAUUUUGUCAAGACCAGGACAGUUGCUCCCAAUCGCUAGAAUUAGCAAGUAAGACCCAGACCAAAUCGUGAAAUCAUCAAAAUUACCAAAGGAAAAAGCUUCUACGCCCUGGGCCGCGGUCUCCGCCCCUGCCGUCAGGAGCAUUUCUUGAAAACGGGAAACUUGCUUUAAGACAUGAACAAUAAAUUUAAGCACAAAUAAAAAGCAUGAAGACACAAUUAUCGAAUUGUGAUGUAAAGCUUUGUUUUCUUUUUCUAUAAACCAUUUUAUAUUGAUUUGAAGACAGGUUGUGUUCACAGGAAAUCACAAUGCCGGCACCUUGAUUGGAUGAAAACUUUGUUUCUUUUCUUCUAUAGACCAUUUUAUAUUGAUCCGAGGACAGUGUAAAGCUUUGUUUUCUUUUCUAUAAACCAUUUUAUAUUUAUUUGAGGACUGUGUAAAAGGACUCGAUACAGAAACAUCGGACCCGAGGUUUAGGCAUGGAGGUAACAUUGAACAUAGUACAUACAUUAGUAUUUUAACAGGGUUGUACAACAUCAAUUGGCUUAAAACGAACAGGGCGUAUAGGAGCUUGGCCGCUUGGAAUGGUGGACUCCGGAUAAAGUGGGUUCAGUUGCAGUAUUGAACAGGUUUCAGAGAAUACAACGAAGUUCAUGAAAAGGUUGAAGUGCUUCGGGAGCAAUUCCGCAACAAAAUUGGUCAAAUUAAGGUAGUAACAGCAGGUGAUGCGACUUCUCACUUCACUUCUCAGUUCAAUAAAGCUCCCUUUAUCGGAAAAAAAAACAAAAAUUAACAGAAAGAUACUAAGAUAUCUAUACCAAUAUAUUAAAUUGGAGUAUGUGGUGAUGGUACGAGUGUCGCGGUGCAUCACUUCACCAAAAUUACGAAUCUGCCAUCGCUGUCCCACGUGUCUUUUAAUCCCGGCUCCCGCAGUCCUCAAGCGCAGAAAAAACACGUACCACAAAAAAAAAUACAAACUAACAGAGCCCUCAUCGCGCCUCCUCCUCCUCUCCUACGAAUCUCACCCCCACCCCCUGCCCGAUCCGGAUCUCGCCGCCGCUCUUGGUUGCCUCCACCGGCUCGUGCGUGUCGGCGGCGUUCGUGUGCGGAAGGCGGCUCCGUCACGUGCUCCAACCGCCGCCUCCACCGGCUCUUGCGCGCCGGUGGCUCCCCGCGGGACUUGGACGGCGAUGAGACGAGCCUGAGGCCGGGAUGGCGGUCGCUUCGCACAAGGCAGCAAGGACUGCGUCGGCGCGAGCCAUCGGUGGCCCUCUGCACGGGCAGUGGCACGCGGCAACUAGUGGCCGGACGCGAUGUGUGGCGGCGCGCGGGCGCGGCGAACGGGCGGACAAGGCUGCGAGAGGGCGCAGGCGGACGGCGCACAGGCGGCAAGUGGGAGCAAACGGCGCAUGGGAGUGGACGGGCAGCGGGAAUCUACGGGUGGAGGCGGGGCGCACAAGCGGACGGCCGUGCAUGGCGACGUGAUGUUCGGUGGCAGGAUGAAUCGGGACGGGGAGAGGAGGAGUUUGCACUCAGUGUGAAUGGAGAGGAUAGUCAGAGAGAGCGAGAAAUUGAGAGAAGAUAUUUGAGAAAUAAAAUACGGAGUAGAAGUAAUAGUAGAGCACAAGGAGAAAUGUAGAAGACAUGUGGAAAAAAAAAAGAAACUAGUGUAUAGCCCACGAAAAUAAAUAUAUCAUAAGCGAUAUAUACAUAUGUACUCAAUUUUCCGUUGUUCCGGACCAACGUACGGUUCUUUUGCUAGUACUACGUAUACAGGAGAUGAUUACCAUACGCAGUUCGAAACUCAUAGACCCCCACCACCAUAUGACACCCUUAACCCCAUCUACUUUCUGCACAUGACAUCUAUGAACUGACCCCAUCUACUUUCUGCACAUAAAAACAAGUGAAGGGGAAACCUGGUAGAAUCAGGCGCUGACCCUUUAUAAUAGCGCCAUUCAAUAAGAUAAACUGAGCUUUGGUUGGAGAAUAAAAUCUGCACAUGACAUCUAUGAACUGUAAGAUAUAAUCAGAAAAUGCUCUCUAACAUAAAACAAAGCAAUAUUGGUUUACAGUAAAACUAUAUCUCUUGACUGAGGAUUCACACUUGACUUCCACAUAUUGUGGGAAAUAGGAAUGAGCCCAGCAAAACAUUCCCGAAACUAAGUCACCUUUAGAUGCCUAUGAUAUAAGUUAUAACACUAAAAAAUGUAUAAGGAAAUAAGGAACCACUCAGAUUUCAGCCUUGAAAGUAAUUACCAUCAUUCAGGCAAGCAAGAAGGCGUCAACAAAAAUAAUACCUGAGCAAUAACCCAGGCAAAGAUCAGAAGCUUUUCCUGUAAAAGAUAUUUACUGUUUCCCACUAUUUGGGCGGUAAGGUGUAUUACGGAGUAGCACCUUUGGCUUCCUUCUUAAAGUCAAGGCAAGCACAACGAAGAUUGCAACCUGACAAAAGCAAUGUUCAGUCACAAACUGACAGUCAAACAUCAACACCAACAAGAAACUGACGUCAUGCAUUAUUGUAAUUACAUGCUCAAUAAUCAAGAGUUAGAGACUUUUAAUGGUCAAAAUACAAGAGUAAAAUCUAUUUUGAACCUUGUCUUUGUAGAGGUUGGCUAAAUCAAACCCUGAACGUGCAAAUCCCCGAAGUUGCCACCCUCACCUCCCUAAUCCCGGUCUAAAAUUGCUUUAAAUGCGUUUAGAAGCCGGGAUCGCUGACGUGGCAGAGCCAAACCCGGGAAUCUUGACUUCUGUUGAGCUCAGUUUCCUCUCAAGUUGUGUCCAUUCAUCUCAAUUUGGUUGCGACUCGUAGCAAAUUCUCCUCUUCUCUGUCUCAUGGUUGUUAACUGUUCAUUCUGAACAACACGGUUGUUGUGGAUAUAUGGAGUGGCAUGAUGGCCCGAUGAUGCCGUUUCUUCGGCAAUUGCUACUCGAUCUAUGCAAUACAAUACAGUAUGGGCUUGUGAUGUUCAAGUUAAUGUGGAGCCAAUUGAAGCACAAAGAGCAAGAAAUGUGGCUGUUGCUGCACUAAGACAGGAGCUUGUUGAGAAGAAUGCAGAGAUUGAAGCUAUUAGGGCUAGAAAUGAGACAGGGGACAGGAAGAUGUAUGAACUUGUUGUGUAUGCAGUCCUGUUUUUUCUUGCUGGUUUAGUGGCAGGAAUUCAGCAUUGAGUUGUAUUGGUGUAUGGAAUUUCUGGAAGAAUGGCAGGAAUUAAUCAGUCAUCUGUAUGUGCCUUUGCUGUGAAAGAACGGCAGAUUCCAUGUGAAUUUUGACAGCACAUACUUGUGUAUUUCCUAUGUAUUUUUACAACACUUUUCUGUAUAUUUUGACAGCAGAAACUGAACUGAAUAAUGCAAAGAAAAGAUCACAGUUUUCUGAACAUUAUGACAGCACAUGUUGACAGGAAGAAAAAACAGACCCGAUCAAUCCAGCGUUCAAUCAUUCCAAAGAGACCACAUGUUGACCGGAAGCACAAACUGGGACUGAAAAUAAGCUGCUGGCGCCACUUUAUGGACCCCUGUUUGGAAAACCCGUUUUAGCAUCUUUAGACCGGGAUUUGGAAGUUUAGGGUGCCAACUUUAGGGAUUUGCAAGUCAGGAUUCCAUCUACAUUUCUACAAAGACAAGGUUUAAAAUAGAAUUUACUCGAUUACCAAUCUAUAUUUUAUCAUAUCCAAGAUCUCUAUGCAAUGCAGAAUGUCAGCAAAUAAAAUAUACAAUUUGCAGAACCUACCUAUUAAAUGAAUGAUGGUUGUUCGAGAACCAGGUCUUUCUACCUGAAUCAGCACUUCAUUGCAACCAAAAUGGUGCUAGAAUCGGUUGACAAGGGUCCAGUAUUGAAACAUAACAUUUGCGAUUAAAAUAUAGUUUGUGUUUUCCUUCAUGAACCUACGAUACAUAUGAUGAACAGGUGAUAGGUAAAGUCAUCAUGGAUUGAAUGCUACCUGGGCUUUGGAGUUCGUUGGACAACCUUCUCCGAAUUUUCCGGUCCCACUGCUUAACCUGACAACUCAGAAAUGAUUUUAUCCAUACACCACAAAACGAAUUCCCCCAGGGCAUUGGGAAAUCUCUGAUUGAUCCAAUCACUCGCCAUCUUGCAAACUGGCUCAGGAAUAUAGCACAAUGGUAUCUGCUCAAUACAUCAUACAACAACCAAUUAGGCGCAUCGCAAAAACAAUUCAAGUAUAAAGCAAGGUAAUUCUCAUUCUUAAAUAUCCUGAUGUAAGGUAAAUGUCAAUCACAAUGGUGAUGCAGAAACACAUGCAAUCUCUGCUAGUCAUUGAAGCAUGCAGGUGAAAGAGCAAUAACUAAAGAUGAGCUUGCAGAUUAUUCAACAAGUGAAGAUGAUCAAGCAUUCAAGCCCAAGAUCAAAAGGCGAGUGAAGGUGAAGCUGGAGGAGGAGGCGAUGGUGGUUUUGAAGUGGAUGAUGGCCUUGGUUUAAGCGACUGAUAAUAUAAUAGUAUGGUGCUGCAGACUGACAUAUAGGUGUUGGGCUGGUGUGCCUUCUUUUGGACAUACAAAUCUAGGCUGCCUCAGAUGAUCAUAAAAUAACUUCAUUUUUCAUAUAGCCAUACACAACUCUGCAUUUGUUACUUAAAGACGACGAACUGAAAAGAUUGUAUGACAGCACGUCCUACACAGUACUUUUCUAAGACAAGUAAGCUUCCUCAAAGUAGCGUUGAAACAAGUCGUUCCGCAAAUAAAAACAACUCAUUAUGCAAAUAAAAGAUUCUGCACAACGAAUACAAAUGAGGUGAACGGGUAGGCCCAUACCUGGAAUUCAAGGCUUACAUUCAACAAUAGUGGACACAAGAGCCUGUUUACCAAUAAGAUGAACAAUUUAUUUUUCGGUAGCAUCAUCACCAACUAAUAUGAUUUGCUCAGCACCAAAGCCAUGCAGGUUACCAUGUUUACAUUUGUUUUCUCCAAAAAUAUUCACAGUUGCAUUUUUGUCAUUACCCGUUUCCAGGACUCCAGCAGCACAGGAAGUUCUCCAUAUACCGGACCAGUCUCUGGAUUAGCUUGUCAACACACUUGAUGGGAAAAAGCACAAGAGGUAAAUGAUACUUUGGGCCAUACAAAGAAUUCCACAAUGCAUGCGAAAAUUUUGGAACAUAUCGGAGAGAUGGCGUAGCUUGUUUUCCAUGUUUAUUUCCUUGCAUGCAUGCUUAAAGUGAUCGAAUAUCUUCAAAUCCCCCUUGCUAUAGUAUGCUCAGUGUCACCGGCAAAAUGGAAGCCCUCCUCAAAAUUUCUACGGACAUACUUAACAAGUGCUAUUUGUGUCAUGGUCAGAUCCUGUACCUCAUCUACGUAAACAAAAUCCACCAUAUCGCCAUUGUGUAGCCCUCAGAAACUAGACUUCCAUGAAGACAAUUCACAAAAUAUUGUCUGCAUGAUAUGCUGGUUACAAAUAAUGCCCGAAAAGAGAUUCUUUGGUUAUUGGGGUUAGACUAUCCUCAAUUGCUCCUAGGUGAUGCACACAAAAUAUUCGACAUACUCUAUCCAAAAGACCCAAACUGGACAUUUUAGUAGCAAAAUGCAUAAAUACCGAUUAACAUGACCAUCCAUACUCACCAAAGAAGACAUCUAAGGUUUCUUUCCCUGGAUACUAAAUAGAAUGCAUAGACAUUGUUCAGUUUCUUUUCAUAAUUAUUAUUAUACAAACUAAUGCAAGUCUUUAUACUCUACUGACCCGUAAAAUAUGUGAUAUAUAUAAUUAUUUCAUUUUCUUUUCUCUAGAAAUCUCUGAUCAGAAGAGAUUAAGUUAAGCCAAUGCUGAUCAAAGUACAGCAUGCAAGAAAAAAAAAACUACAGCAGGUGAAAUGGCAAAGUUAACAGGAUGAUACUAAGAUAUACUACAUAUAUAUAGGAGACGAUUACCAUACGCAGUUCGAAACUCAAGACCGCCACCAUAGUGACAAUAUGAUAUCCUUAUCCCCAUCUACUUCCUGUAGGCUAGCACAGUAACACAAAAAACCGAACCGACCACAGAACACAGCAAAUCCAAGGCAAGCUUCCUAACACUUGAUGAAAAAAAAAAUGAAUGCAGACACCUAGUCGACCUCCUCCAUCUUGCUCUCGCCAGCGUCAUCCUCCAGUGCUGGCAUGUCGGUGUCAUCAGCAUCGGCGGCCUCAUCCUCAUCGAUGCUCAGGCCAAGCUUGAGCAUACGGUGGAUCCUGGUGCCGAAGGUGUUGGGGUCGUCCAGGCUGAAGCCAGAGGUGAGCAGGGAGGUCUCGAACAGCAGCAUCACCAAGUCCUUGACAGACUUGUCAUUCUUGUCAUCAUCCGCCCGCUUGCGCAGCUCCUCCAUGAUGGCGUUCUCCGGGUUGAUCUCCAUUGUCUUCUUGCUUGACAUGUAGCCUCCCAUGCUCGAGUCCCUCAGAGCCUGGGCCUUCAUGAUCCGCUCCAUGUUGGCAGUCCAGCCAUACUCACCAGUGACAAGACAGCACGGCGAGUCAACGACGCGGUCAGAGACAAUGACCUUCUCCACCCUGUCACCGAGCACAUCCUUGAUCACCUUGCAGAGGCCCUCAAACUUCUCCUUGAGCUCCUCCUUCCUCUUCUUCUCAUCCUCACUGUCCUCAAGCUUCAGGCCUUCCUUGGUGGCAGACACAAGCUUCUUUCCCUCGAACUCCUUGAGCUGGCCAAUGGCGUACUCAUCAAUGGCAUCAACCAUGAACAGGACUUCAUAGCCCUUCUUCUUUAGCCUCUCCAAGAAGGGAGAAUUCUCCACAGCCUUCUUGCUCUCGCCGGUGAUGUAGUAGAUGUCGUUCUGGCCCUCCUUCAUCCUGGUCACGUAGUCCUUGAGGCUGGUCAGCUCAUCACCACUCUUGGUGGAGUGGUACCUCAGGAGCUCAGAAAGCUUGGUCCUGUUGGUGGAGUCCUCAUGGACGCCAAGCUUGAGGUUCUUGGAGAAUGCCUCAUAGAACUUGUUGUAGUCCUCCUUGUUCUCAGCAAUCUCAAAGAACAGCUCAAUGGACUUCUUAACAAGGUUCUUCCGGAUGACCUUGAGGAUCUUGUUCUGCUGGAGCGUCUCUCUAGAGAUGUUGAGGGGAAGGUCCUCAGAGUCAACAAUUCCCUUGACAAAGCUCAGCCACUCAGGAAUCAGCUCCUCACAGUUGUCCAUGAUGAAGACACGGCGCACAUAGAGCUUGAUGUUGUUGGCCUUCUUCCUGGUGUCAAAGAG